rnacentral:rRNA from 1 species
AGGCUCCUACGGGGCGCAGCAGUGGGGAAUAUUGGGCAAUGGGCGCAAGCCUGACCCAGCGACGCCGCGUGAAGGAAGAAGGCUUUCGGGUUGUAAACUUCUUUUAAGAGGGAAGAGCAGAAGACGGUACCUCUUGAAUAAGCCUCGGCUAACUACGUGCCAGCAGCCGCGGUAAUACGUAGGUGGCAAGCGUUGUCCGGAUUUACUGGGUGUAAAGGGCGUGUAGCCGGGCUGACAAGUCAGAUGUGCAAUUCCGGGGCUCAACUC